UGGGGUAAUUGGAAGAUUUUUUUUUUAUUUUUUUGAUUAAGAUAGUUGGAAGAAUUUUGACUGCGAGGCUUUCAUUCUUUUGUUCGAUUUUAUUGGAGAGACGCGCUACAUUAAUUAUAAGAUAUAUUUUUUGUGAGGUAGACAUUACAGUCGAUUGAAUGGUAGCCUUUAUAAUCAAGUAUACUGAAAAAAAAAAUUUUGAACUGAGACGGACGCCAUUCUUAAAUAACUUCAAAAUAUUU
rnacentral:lncRNA from 1 species